rnacentral:lncRNA from 1 species
CGAGCAGAUACUCGCAGCUGUUACCACGUCCCGAUUUCACUAAAACAGAUUCUCUCACUCACACACACUGUGUGAGUGUGUGUGUCUCUCUCUUACUCACACUCUCUUUCUGUCUCCUUCUCUCUCUCUUACUCACACUCUCUUUCUGUCUCCUUCUCUGUCUCUUACUCACACUCUCUUUCUGUCUCCUUCUCUCUCUCUCACUCUGUAUCUUUCACUCAUUCUUUCUGCCCCUUCUAUCUAUUCACUCACUCUCUCUGCAUUUUAGCUUGCUUAUGUCUGCCACUAAGCGCACCCGACCGCCGGUUCCUCGCCACUCGAGCAAAAACUAAAUAUACAUAGAUAUAUAAAAAUAUAUAGAUUAAUAGAUAUAUACACUCCCUCUCUCUCUGUCGAGAUAUAUACAUCAAAUAGAGAGAUAGAGAAAUAGAGAGAGAGAAAAAGAGAGAGACACCGCUGUUGCAUUUGCCCUCCUCACACACAUUCCUGUUUUCUCUCACUCCACCUCCCUCUCUCUAAUCCUUCUGUCUAUCCCUCAUCCUCACCCUCUCUCUCAUUCGCAUGCUCUCUUUCCUCACUCAUGCUUAUUACGUGACCAUCGAACGACUUCCCUCACGCCGUCGUCAUCGUUGUUGUUAUUGUCGUUCAAGUCUUCCUGCUUUUUUCCUUCCUUUAUUACUAUUUCAAACUACUACUAAUACUACUACUAUUACUACCACCACUAUCUACAACAUUAUUAUUGUUAUUAUCAUUGCUAUUAUUCUCAGCGAGUCAGUGCCCGUCGUCUAUAUAAAACAGUAUUGCUAAACACUUACAUAUGAGAAUAUAUACACAUACAUGUAUAUAUACACAAACACACAAUCAGACAUAUACACACACAAAUAUACAUGCGUUUUACAAACUCACAUUGACUGACAGUCUUGACGUAUAAAGCAGUGAAUAUUGAAAGCGUGAUACAUAGAGAUAUAUAUACACAUACCAGGGAGAGAAAAUACAUACACAGACACACACAUACAAACGCACAUACAUACACACACACACACAUACCCAAUUAUACAUACAUACAUACAUACAUACACAACCAAUUAACGUUGUUGUCACUUGGAUGUUGACGUAGAAAAAAAAAAACUGUCUUUUACCCUCUUUUGGAUUACAAAACAUUCGGUAAGUUACUUAACUUUAUAACCCCCUUUUCUUGUCCUG